rnacentral:misc_RNA from 1 species
GCCAACUUCAUGCCUCUGUGGACAGCAAAUAAAUAUGUUUCCCCCACGAAUAUUAAUCAAUUCCACCUUAUCUCUUUCAACAGAAUAUAAAAGAACAAACAGGACUAAUCAUCAAAAUAAUAUUUAUAAUAAUUGUACCUCAAUGUUUUAUGUAGGUUCCCAUAUAUCAAUGUUCAUUUCACAGCUUGUCCAAGAGGUGUAAGAACUCUUCCUGCCAGUUAGCAGAAAAUAACGAAUUCUGUGCUUCAUAUUAAAGCUUUGAAGGCUGUUCGAUGGCAUUUCAAAGUUAAAAAUUUUGGAUCAUGCUUCAGGAUUAAUUUCAUCCAAAAACGUUCCCAUUACUUCACCGAUACAUCCUUCAUUUAGUAAUUUCAGCAGAUAAACAAAUGGAAUGACAAGUUGAAUGCAUGACUCAAAACCCAACUCCAGAAGAAGCAUCUAAAUCUAAAAACCUAGAGAGGUCAUCAAAUCGCAAAUUCUUAGUCAAAGUUCUAUACAGAAUCAGUUUUGACGGAAUGACUGUUUAUUCAAUGACUAGUUUGUUAGUAGACUAAGAGGGUGCAGCAUUGCAAAUAUGUUAUUAAAGGCUCAAGGCG